rnacentral:tRNA from 1 species
CGGGGUGUGGCGCAGCCCGGUAGCGUGCCUGAAUGGGGUUCAGGUGGUCGGAGGUUCAAAUCCUCUCGCCCCGA